rnacentral:rRNA from 1 species
CAGCUACACAUGCAGUCGAGCGGAUGAAGAGAGCUUGCUCUCUGAUUCAGCGGCGGACGGGUGAGUAAUGCCUAGGAAUCUGCCUGAUAGUGGGGGACAACGUUUCGAAAGGAACGCUAAUACCGCAUACGUCCUACGGGAGAAAGCAGGGGACCUUCGGGCCUUGCGCUAUCAGAUGAGCCUAGGUCGGAUUAGCUAGUUGGUGAGGUAACGGCUCACCAAGGCGACGAUCCGUAACUGGUCUGAGAGGAUGAUCAGUCACACUGGAACUGAGACACGGUCCAGACUCCUACGGGAGGCAGCAGUGGGGAAUAUUGGACAAUGGGCGAAAGCCUGAUCCAGCCAUGCCGCGUGUGUGAAGAAGGUCUUCGGAUUGUAAAGCACUUUAAGUUGGGAGGAAGGGCAUUAACCUAAUACGUUAGUGUUUUGACGUUACCGACAGAAUAAGCACCGGCUAACUUCGUGCCAGCAGCCGCGGUAAUACGAAGGGUGCAAGCGUUAAUCGGAAUUACUGGGCGUAAAGCGCGCGUAGGUGGUUUGUUAAGUUGAAUGUGAAAGCCCCGGGCUCAACCUGGGAACUGCAUCCAAAACUGGCAAGCUAGAGUAUGGCAGAGGGUGGUGGAAUUUCCUGUGUAGCGGUGAAAUGCGUAGAUAUAGGAAGGAACACCAGUGGCGAAGGCGACCACCUGGGCUAAUACUGACACUGAGGUGCGAAAGCGU